UAGGGAAUAUUGGGCAAUGGGCGCAAGCCUGACCCAGCCAUGCCGCGUGUCGGAAGAAGGCCCUCUGGGUUGUAAACGACUUUUGACGGGGAAGAAACGACUCUUGCGAGAGGCAUUGACGGUACCCGCAGAAUAAGCACCGGCUAACUCCGUGCCAGCAGCCGCGGUAAUACGGAGGGUGCAAGCGUUGUCCGGAUUUAUUGGGUUUAAAGGGUGCGUAGGCGGUCUGGUAAGUCGGCGAUGAAAGCCCGGGGCUCAACCCCGGAACUGUCGUCGAUACUGUCGGACUUGAGUACGGGUGAGGCUGGCGGAAUGGGCGGUGUAGCGGUGAAAUGCAUAGAUACCGUCCAGAACCCCGAUUGCGAAGGCAGCUGGCUAAGCCGUAACUGACGCUGAGGCACGAAAGCGUGGGGAGCGAACAG
rnacentral:rRNA from 1 species